AAUAGUCUGUCCUUUGUUGUUGAGGAACCUGUUUCAUACAAACUGCAUCACUGUUAACGAUGAGCCACACCUGCAGCUGCUUGAAGGAAUGAACAAAGUUUUCUGAGUGCACUAGUCAAAGCCCUCCUCUCCUUACUGCCUGCCAAGGAGCUGCAGAAGGCCUGAGGCACUGCUGAGGAAUGGGUGUAUUCCUCCAGGAAAAGGGCUUGCAGAUGGUGAAGUUUUUCCCCAGGUGAACAAAAGGAGCUCUCUCUCCAGCCCUCGUGGUCUUUUAUGGGUGUCCCGUGCCUUCAUUAAAGCGUCUGCUGUGUUCAAGCUGUCUGACACAAUCACAGUGAAACCCUCGUACAAAUCAAACCCGGUGCACUGACGGCUCCUGGCGCGCAUUUCCACCGUCCCCUCGUCCCACAGCGACAGAGAAGGGAUUGUCACCCCCCCAUCCCCCCUCCUUGGCCAGCUGGGGCUGCCAAAACCACUUAUCCCUGCAGCACAACUGCGGGCUCUGGCCUCAUUAAUGCCAUCCUGCUUGAGAAGCUUCGUCUGCUG